rnacentral:lncRNA from 1 species
CUACAGACCAUGGUGGCACACACCGGUAAUCUUGAAGAACAGAGGGUUGGAGAUGGUGCCCAGGCUCUUGAGUACCACCAUCAAAACACCAAAGUUUCUAUGGAUGAGACAGUUAAUGAAGGACAGAGCCUACAGGCAAAUGCAACCAGUGCCCCCUUACUUUGAUGCUGAUGCCUUGCCAAGAGUCCUGGGAAGUGCAUGGAAAUUCUGCUGAUGCCUGGCUUUACCAAGCUCCUCCUACUGUGGUUCUAGGGGCUCCUAACCAUAUCCAAACUGUGCUGGCAGUACCUCUCUUCUAAAGCCUAACUGUGCAGACUCAACAUCUCCUUGACAGAAAGACCUGUGCGUGCAUACGGAAGUUAACAUUUCCUACUGACUCUGGUGACUGGGGCCGAAGUUGAACAUGAGCUCAAUAUGCUGUUGAGACAAAAUGUUAUUCUUUUCCAGCUGAAAUAAUCUUGUGUUAAGGAAGAAUAAUUUAACAAGUUGUGACAC